CUUUACACAUGCAAGUCGAACGGCAGCACGGAGAGCUUGCUCUCUGGUGGCGAGUGGCGAACGGGUGAGUAAUAUAUCGGAACGUGUCCAAUAAUGGGGGAUAACGAGUCGAAAGAUUCGCUAAUACCGCAUACGCCCUACGGGGGAAAGCAGGGGAUCGUAAGACCUUGCGUUAAUGGAGCGGCCGAUAUCUGAUUAGCUUGUUGGUGAGGUAAAGGCUCACCAAGGCGACGAUCAGUAGCUGGUUUGAGAGAACGACCAGCCACACUGGAACUGAGACACGGUCCAGACUCCUACGGGAGGCAGCAGUGGGGAAUUUUGGACAAUGGGGGCAACCCUGAUCCAGCCAUUCCGCGUGAGUGAAGAAGGCCUUCGGGUUGUAAAGCUCUUUCGCAAGGGAAGAAAACUUAUGAUCGAAUAAAUCAUGAGGUUGACGGUACCUUGAUAAGAAGCACCGGCUAACUACGUGCCAGCAGCCGCGGUAAUACGUAGGGUGCGAGCGUUAAUCGGAAUUACUGGGCGUAAAGCGUGCGCAGGCGGUUUUGUAAGUCGGAUGUGAAAUCCCCGGGCUCAACCUGGGAACUGCGUUCGAAACUGCAAGGCUAGAGUGUGUCAGAGGGGGGUAGAAUUCCACGUGUAGCAGUGAAAUGCGUAGAGAUGUGGAGGAAUACCAAUGGCGAAGGCAGCCCCCUGGGAUAACACUGACGCUCAUGCACGAAAGCGUGGGGAGCAAACAGGAUUAGAUACCCUGGUAGUCCACGCCCUAAACGAUGUCAACUAGUUGUUGGUAGAGUAAAAUCUAUGAGUAACGUAGCUAACGCGUGAAGUUGACCGCCUGGGGAGUACGGUCGCAAGAUUAAAACUCAAAGGAUUGACGG
rnacentral:rRNA from 1 species